GACGAACGCUGGCGGCGUGCCUAACACAUGCAAGUCGAACGGAACUGUUUUGAAAGAUUUCUUCGGAAUGAAUUUGAUUUAGUUUAGUGGCGGACGGGUGAGUAACGCGUGAGUAACCUGCCUUCAAGAGGGGAAUAACAUUCUGAAAAGAAUGCUAAUACCGCAUGACAUAUCGGAACCACAUGGUUUUGAUAUCAAAGAUUUUAUCGCUUGAAGAUGGACUCGCGUCCGCUUAGUUAGUUGGUGAGGUAACGGCUCACCAAGACCGCGAUCGGUAGCCGGACUGGGAGGUUGAACGGCCAAAUUGGGACUGAGACACGGCCCAGACUCCUACGGGAGGCAGCAGUGGGGGAUAUUGCGCAAUGGGGGCAACCCUGACGCAGCAACGCCGCGUGAAGGAUGAAGGUUUUCGGAUUGUAAACUUCUUUUAUUAAGGACGAAAAAUGACGGUACUUAAUGAAUAAGCUCCGGCUAACUACGUG
rnacentral:rRNA from 1 species